UGGGGAAUAUUGGACAAUGGGCGCAAGCCUGAUCCAGCCAUGCCGCGUGAGUGAUGAAGGCCCUAGGGUUGUAAAGCUCUUUCACCGGUGAAGAUAAUGACGGUAACCGGAGAAGAAGCCCCGGCUAACUUCGUGCCAGCAGCCGCGGUAAUACGAAGGGGGCUAGCGUUGUUCGGAUUUACUGGGCGUAAAGCGCACGUAGGCGGACUAUUAAGUCAGGGGUGAAAUCCCGGGGCUCAACCCCGGAACUGCCUUUGAUACUGGUAGUCUUGAGUUCGAGAGGGGUGAGUGGAAUUCCGAGUGUAGAGGUGAAAUUCGUAGAUAUUCGGAGGAACACCAGUGGCGAAGGCGGCUCACUGGCUCGUUACUGACGCUGAGGUGCGAAAGCGUGGGGAGCAAACAGG
rnacentral:rRNA from 1 species